UAUUUGUAACCUUGUGAAACAGCCUCUUGCAAGGACAAUUGCUUGUGGCGAAACACGGUUACAUAAAGUAAAACAAGGAAGCUAAGGCGUGACUUCUGGAGGUUGAGGAGUUCCACGUGCGAUGUUCCUUGGACAGAUUGUCUUCGGAGAGCCCUGCUUUCCACGGUGGUGACGGACCUUCAUGUACCCUCACCUUUCUUGAAGCAGGAAGAAAAAGCAUUGUGCGGUAACCAGACAUUGUUUGAAAGGGGAAGGGUUUCCUGUCGAACACUGUGGAGUUGCCACAUUC